rnacentral:rRNA from 1 species
AACGCUGAAGGAGGAGCUUGCUUCUCUGGAUGAGUUGCGAACGGGUGAGUAACGCGUAGGUAACCUGCCUGGUAGCGGGGGAUAACUAUUGGAAACGAUAGCUAAUACCGCAUAAUAGUAGAUGUUGCAUGACAUUUGCUUAAAAGGUGCAAUUGCACCACUACCAGAUGGACCUGCGUUGUAUUAGCUAGUUGGUGGGGUAACGGCUCACCAAGGCGACGAUACAUAGCCGACCUGAGAGGGUGAUCGGCCACACUGGGACUGAGACACGGCCCAGACUCCUACGGGAGGCAGCAGUAGGGAAUCUUCGGCAAUGGACGGAAGUCUGACCGAGCAACGCCGCGUGAGUGAAGAAGGUUUUCGGAUCGUAAAGCUCUGUUGUAAGAGAAGAACGAGUGUGAGAGUGGAAAGUUCACACUGUGACGGUAUCUUACCAGAAAGGGACGGCUAACUACGUGCUAGCAGCCGCGGUAAUACGUAGGUCCCGAGCGUUGUCCGGAUUUAUUGGGCGUAAAGCGAGCGCAGGCGGUUAGAUAAGUCUGAAGUUAAAGGCUGUGGCUUAACCAUAGUACGCUUUGGAAACUGUUUAACUUGAGUGCAAGAGGGGAGAGUGGAAU